rnacentral:tRNA from 1 species
UUUAGGGUGCCAGAUGUAGUUAAUGGGUGUGAUUUAGGAUCAUAUUAAGGUCUCAGACCCUCUAGCG